rnacentral:rRNA from 1 species
ACCUGCGGAGGGAUCAUUGCUGGAACGCGCUUCGGCGCACCCAGAAACCCUUUGUGAACUUAUACCUAUUGUUGCCUCGGCGUCAGGCCGGCCUCUUCACUGAGGCCCCCCGGAGACGGGGAGCAGCCCGCCGGCGGCCAACUAAACUCUUGUUUCUAUAGUGAAUCUCUGAGUAAAAAACAUAAAUGAAUCAAAACUUUCAACAACGGAUCUCUUGGUUCUGGCAUCGAUGAAGAACGCAGCGAAAUGCGAUAAGUAAUGUGAAUUGCAGAAUUCAGUGAAUCAUCGAAUCUUUGAACGCACAUUGCGCCCCCUGGUAUUCCGGGGGGCAUGCCUGUUCGAGCGUCAUUUCAACCCUCAAGCCUGGCUUGGUGAUGGGGCACUGCUUCGAAAGGAGCAGGCCCUGAAAUUCAGUGGCGAGCUCGCCAGGACCCCGAGCGUAGUAGUUAUAUCUCGCUUUGGAAGGCCCUGGCGGUGCCCUGCCGUUAAACCCCCAACUUCUGAAAAUUUGACCUCGGAUCAGGUAGGAAUACCCGCUGAACUUAAGCAUAUCAAUAA